CCGAACCAUUAUUUAACUUUACAUAGAAGUCAAAAUUUCACAUUCAUUACAAAGAAAAUACUAUGAAGAAGAACAACAGCUAACAAUUGACAUGGAGCAGGAAGUUGUAUCAUUUUUCUCACCAUGUGGGUGUUGGAUGUCAAGGAAUCAGGUUAAUUCUAUAAUAAAAAAAUAAAAAUAAUAAAAAUAAAAGGUUAAUGCAAUGAUCAUUUACCGAUGGUCACCUCAAAGUCUUGGUUACCAUACUCCAGUUGUUCUUCUCGAAUUUGCUUUCAACAUUUUCGCCACAACGAUAUGCCUCAAUCUUCUAUAGUGUUGGAAUGUUGCUAAAUUCAGAAGGAAUCAUCUCCAAUUUUUCGCAAUCAAACAACAACAAUCUUUCAAGUACAGGGAAGUGAUCAUGUGGUGAAUUCCAUUGUUCAAGAUCUGACCAUUUUAAUUGAAGGAAUUUGAGUUUUUGGAACUCAUCCUCCUUUGUGUUCCAGAUUUGUCCUUCAAAGGCUUCAUCUAAUUUAAGAAUCUCCAGGUUUGGCAAUGUCCCAAUUAAUGACUUAUUUUUUGAAGGCAAAGCCAAUUUCGAAAGAGUAAGCUUUUUUAUAUUCGUGGGGAAGUUAAUCACCGAGUAAUCACCUUCGAAAUCACUUUUAAGAGCCAUUGUGAGUGAUUCAAGAUGAGUAAGAGAGCUGAGAUUUGGACAAAUAUUGUGUGGAGAUGUGCAUUUAAGCUUACGUAGAUUUGAUAAACUUCUUAAAUUUCUUCGCUUUUUGAAUCGUCAAUGUUCGAGUGAAUUCCCGCAAGCGUACGGGUUCGUUGACAAGUAAUAAUUGUGAUGAGUAAAGUAUUGUCCCACAGGGAAUAAGGAUUAAUUCUAGGGUAUUUGAUAAAUUUGAAUUCGUGUUUGUGACUAAAACUAUCGAAUGAAUAGUUAACGGAUUUUUAAAACUAGAAUUUGUAAAAGUAAUGGAGGUUGAUUUAAAACUCGAAUAUGCGAAUGUAUUGGAUUUCAGACGCCAUUGAGUAAUGCUUAGUUCUAAUUCUCAACUAGUGUUAAUUAUCUCAAUUUAUGCAAUUGCGACGAUCGAUAAUUCCACAAUUAUUUAUUAUUCUUUUCCAGAUAUAAUAAACCUAUGUUUACCACGAGACGAUCCUAUUCCUAGUUCGAAUUCAGAUGGCGAACAUGCAUUGAUAAUUAGGAUUAUCACUUAUGAUCGCACACGCCACAAAUGUUAUUCAUAAUAUUUAUUGCCCGUGUGUUCCAAUAAUAGUGUUCUACCUAUCGUGAAUUUUCCAACACAACGAAUGAGCAACUUAUUGUCCUAAUGGUGCACUAACAUUAGAACAAUCUAAUUAUGUAUAUUAAUGGAAUCACAGCGCAAUAAUUAACAUAAAAACAUAGGUCUCGAAUCAAAACUAAAAAUUAAACAAUUUUGUCAUCCAUCCAAUACAUGAGAAAAUUAGACUAGCAUAAUAUUGGAAUUAAACAAAGAAAAGUGGAAGGAAAUCACCAAAAAUCGACGGAACAUGAUUGAGUCCACGAAUUUGCUCGACUUUUGCACGUGUAUGUUGAUUUCCCCCAAGCAGCCGUUUUUCAAUAUAUCUUUGGCCCAAUUAUGUGUGUUGUUUCUAUAUAAAAAUCAGCAAGCUGCCGGUAAAUAUUCUCUGCAGUUUCCGUCGACAAUGUGGUUGUAAUCCCCGGUUGGCACUCAAAUCUUUCCUCCAGUAUGCUGUCAACUUGUGUGUGCAGUAUAUAUAAAAAAAUCAGCCCAAAUCCAUGCAAUUAUACAUAUAGGCAGCCUAUGUAUAUAUAUGAUAAAAGACCAGAAGCAUUUUUUUCUUUGGGCAGCAGCCAAUUUUAUUCCAAAGUUGCCAAGUUUAUUUCUUUCCAGCCGGCCAGUUGUGUAUCUUUUUAACUCCAGCAGCUGCCCACUGUUUUUGCAUAUAUUCUCACCAAGGUAGCCGAAUUGUCCCCAAUUAAUUCAACCUCAAGCAGCCUCCUUCUCUCCUUUUCAGCCACCAAUUUAGUUUAUCAAAAAUAAUAAAUUCAGCCCAAUGUUUGAACUCACAAGCAGCCGCCUAC
rnacentral:lncRNA from 1 species